UUGUAUUGUACAUUGUUCAAAUGAUAAAGGAUUUUUUUUUAAAAUUUUACUUUGUGUUAGUGCAUAUGGACGGUUUUUUGCCUGUUGUUAAAAUUAGUUAAUGUGACUUUUGUCAUAUUUUACACUGGACUGAUGAUGAAGAAUAUGGAAUCGAUUUGAUUUUACUUUGUGCUUCAGCAUUAAUGAUAUUUUUCCUCUUGUAUUAAGAAUUAGUCACUAGUAUGACUUUUGUCACUGUAAAAAUUUAUUUAACUUUGUGCUGUUGAUGGAGCAAUUUUUUUUAUUUUAAUUUACGCUACUGCAUUUAUUGGGACAUUUUUUUAUAUGUUCUUUUUUUUUAAAGAUUGAAGACACUAAAUUUUUUAUUAUUCCAUUAUUUAAUAUUGUAGGGCAAGUUGGUAUAUUUGGGUUGGAGUUUGUAAUUGAUAGUGAUGCUCAGGUGAGCAAUACAGUAUUGGGACCUCAUUUCAUUAUCAUUAUGAUGUCAUACAAGUAUGUACAAUGUACUACUUUAAGGACAGUUUUGUCAUACUGACACUUAUAUUUGGCACAGACAUGUAUAAUUGUGAAGUUUAUUCAAAUAAUAGGAAAGAGUCACAAAUGUUUCACCAAGUUUUAAGACCUCCUCAGACCUUGUAUGUUGACUGACUGAAUCUUUUUUUUCGAUUUUUGAUUUUUACAUCUCUUCUGAACUAUUUUAAUUCUAUUCCAUAAGUAAGCAGUUAUGCUAGAAAAUAGUUUUGGAACCCUUUUUAUCAAUAUAUAACUAGUCUUCUGAAUUGUAUUCCCAGAGAACACUCAUAUAGUUUAUCUGCACAGCAAAGUACAGUCAUGCCUUAUUAAUCUUGAACUCAAAGGGGCCAAGAAGUGUGUGUGUCCAGCUUGCUUCCUUAUAACCAUUGUAUUAUAAUUUAAGGCAUCAAUAAAUGUUCAAGAUAGUUCUGGUAUAUUCCACAAUGCUGAUCUGACAAUUGUGAUUUAUGUUAGAAAGUAAGUUUGGCAUUUUUUUGUUCAUAUUUAAUUGUUAAGUAUGGUAUUUUAACUGUUUAAGCACUGCCAGAUCUUAGUGAGAAGCACAAAUAAGUGUUCCCUAUCCAUAAUUCUUAAGUGCAGACAUUAUUUUCUUAACUGCAGAACUAUAGUUCUUUAGAAAUUAGUAGUUACAAGUGUCCUUCAUUUAUCAAACAUGGUGUAUUUGACACGUCACAGUUCUCUAGGUACAGUAAAACACGCUUAUAACGAAGUCCCAGGGACGGCCAAUUUAACUUCGUUAUAAGCGUAGUUCCUUAUAUCCGUCAAGUUUACAACAUGAAAUAGAGACUUGGGGAAUGAAAUUCACUUCGCUGUAAGCGUCAAUUCAUUAUAAGCGUGUUCGCUAUAACCGUGUUUUACUGUACCCAUUUUCUAUGCUGCUGGUCUCGCCGUUGAGUGUACUAUGUAUAACCAUCUUGUUGUCCAGCAGUUACUGUAAUGCUGUUUCCUACAAUAUUAUUUCUCCUCUUCAUCUGUGUCGUUCUUUAUAAACUCUUUUAUUACCUAGUGCCAUUUCUUACAUGAGACUAGGGUUCAUGCGUAGAUGGGGGAAGCUAACCCCCCCCCCCCCCCCUUCAAAAUUCAAUUUUUUUUAAAAUUACUUACUAAUAAAAUUACCAAAAAUAUACCUCAGACCCCCCUGGAAAACUCAAAUAACCGUCAGACUUCACCCCCUGGACAAAUUUUCUGGAUCUGCAGAGCUUAGGUUUUAUGAUUUUCAAAAGGAAAUUUAAAUUGGGAUUGAAAUCCACACAAUUUCGAUAAAUCACUGUGUAGCAAUGCCAAAAAUCACCCUGUUAUAAAGGAACAAGAGUCUAUCAUCCCAGUGAAAACAGGUUCAUUAAUUGUACCUCAAUAAAAUAUUUUUGAGAUUAUUUUUUCAAAACGCCCUUGUAUUUUUGUAUGCAUAAUAAUAAAAGUUAAAAUGUA
rnacentral:sRNA from 1 species